UCCCGUAGGUGAACCUUGCGGAAGGAUCAUUACCGAGUGCGGGCUGCCUCCGGGCGCCCAACCUCCCACCCGUGACUACCUAACACUGUUGCUUCGGCGGGGAGCCCCCCAGGGGCGAGCCGCCGGGGACCACUGAACUUCAUGCCUGAGAGUGAUGCAGUCUGAGCCUGAAUACAAAUCAGUCAAAACUUUCAACAAUGGAUCUCUUGGUUCCGGCAUCGAUGAAGAACGCAGCGAACUGCGAUAAGUAAUGUGAAUUGCAGAAUUCAGUGAAUCAUCGAGUCUUUGAACGCACAUUGCGCCCCCUGGCAUUCCGGGGGGCAUGCCUGUCCGAGCGUCAUUGCUGCCCUCAAGCCCGGCUUGUGUGUUGGGUCGUCGUCCCCCCCGGGGGACGGGCCCGAAAGGCAGCGGCGGCACCGUGUCCGGUCCUCGAGCGUAUGGGGCUUUGUCACCCGCUCGAUUAGGGCCGGCCGGGCGCCAGCCGGCGUCUCCAACCUUAUUUUUCUCAGGUUGACCUCGGAUCAGGUAGGGAUACCCGCUGAACUUAAGCAUAUCAAUAAGCGGAGGA
rnacentral:misc_RNA from 1 species